rnacentral:rRNA from 1 species
CCUACGGGUGGCAGCAGUGGGGAAUAUUGGACAAUGGGGGCAACCCUGAUCCAGCCAUGCCGCGUGUGUGAAGAAGGCCCUCGGGUUGUAAAGCACUUUCAGUGAGGAAGAACGCCUGGUGGUUAAUACCCAUCAGGAAAGACAUCACUCACAGAAGAAGCACCGGCUAACUCCGUGCCAGCAGCCGCGGUAAUACGGAGGGUGCGAGCGUUAAUCGGAAUUACUGGGCGUAAAGCGCGCGUAGGUGGCUUGAUAAGCCGGUUGUGAAAGCCCCGGGCUCAACCUGGGAACGGCAUCCGGAACUGUCAAGCUAGAGUGCAGGAGAGGAAGGUAGAAUUCCCGGUGUAGCGGUGAAAUGCGUAGAGAUCGGGAGGAAUACCAGUGGCGAAGGCGGCCUUCUGGACUGACACUGACACUGAGGUGCGAAAGCGUGGGUAGCAAACAGGAUUAGAUACCCCGGUAUUC